UCGAGAAUUUUUCACAAUGGGCGCAAGCCUGAUGGAGCGACGCCGCGUGGGGGAUGAAUGGCUUCGGCCCGUAAACCCCUGUCAUUUGCGAUCAAACCUUAUUAUUUAAAAGAUGAUAAGCUGAUAGUAGCGAAAGAGGAAGGGACGGCUAACUCUGUGCCAGCAGCCGCGGUAAUACAGAGGUCCCAAGCGUUGUUCGGAUUCACUGGGCGUAAAGGGUGCGUAGGUGGUAGGGUAAGUCGGAUGUGAAAUCUCCGAGCUCAACUCGGAAAUUGCAUUGGAAACUGCCCUGCUUGAGGGUCGGAGGGGGGACUGGAAUUCUCGGUGUAGCAGUGAAAUGCGUAGAUAUCGAGAGGAACACCAGUGGCGAAGGCGAGUCCCUGGACGACUCCUGACACUGAGGCACGAAAGCUAGGGGAGCAAAC
rnacentral:rRNA from 1 species